rnacentral:rRNA from 1 species
AUGCAGCGACGCCGCGUGAGGGAUGACGGCNUUCGGGUUGUAAACCUCUUUUCAGUAGGGAAGAAGCGAAAGUGACGGUACCUGCAGAAGAAGCACCGGCUAACUACGUGCCAGCAGCCGCGGUAAUACGUAGGGUGCGAGCGUUAUCCGGAAUUAUUGGGCGUAAAGAGCUCGUAGGCGGUUUGUCGCGUCUGUCGUGAAAGUCCGGGGCUUAACCCCGGAUCUGCGGUGGGUACGGGCAGACUAGAGUGCAGUAGGGGAGACUGGAAUUCCUGGUGUAGCGGUGGAAUGCGCAGAUAUCAGGAGGAACACCGAUGGCGAAGGCAGGUCUCUGGGCUGUAACUGACGCUGAGGAGCGAAAGCAUGGGGAGCGAACAGGAUUAGAUACCCUGGUAGUCCAUGCCGUAAACGUU